rnacentral:rRNA from 1 species
AUACGGAGGAUCCGAGCGUUAUCCGGAUUUAUUGGGUUUAAAGGGUGCGCAGGCGGCCAUUUAAGUCAGCGGUUAAAUCGUGGGGCUCAACCCCAUUCUGCCGUUGAUACUGGGUGGCUUGAUUGCGGUCGAGGUUGGCGGAAUUCGUUGUGUAGCGGUGAAAUGCGUAGAUAUGCCACAGAACGCCGAUAGCGGAGGCAGCUCGCCAGGCCUGCAGUGACGCCCGGGCACGAAAGCGUGGGGAUCGAACAGGAUUAGAUCCCCUGGUAGGCCACGCCGUAAACGAUGGGCGCUCGUCGUCGGCGGCAGACAGUCGGCGGCCAAGCGAAAGCGAUAAGCGCCCCACCUGGGGAGUACGGUCGCAAGG